rnacentral:rRNA from 1 species
GACGAACGCUGGCGGCGUGCCUAACACAUGCGAGUCGUACGGUAAGGCCCUGUCUGGGGUACGCGACUGGCGCACGGGGGAGUAACAUGUCUGUAACUUGGCCACGACGUUGGGAUAACCCUAGGAAAAUGGGGCCAAAUACCGCAAAGUGCUUCAGCUGCAUGGUGGGGGUUGGUAAGCCCCGGCGGUUUUGGAUGGACUGGCGGCCUAUCGGCUUGUUGGUGGGGUAGUGGCCUACCAAGGCGGCGACGGGUAGCCGGCCUGAGAGGGUGACCGGCCACAUUGGGACUGAGAUGAGGCCCAGACUCCUACGAGAGGCAGAAGUGGGGAAUAUUGCACAAUGGGCGCAAGCCUGAUGCAGCAACGCCGCGUGCGGGAUGACGGCCUUCGGGUUGUAAACCGCUUUCAGCAGGAACGAAGCUUUUUGUGACGGUACCUGCAGAAGAAGCACCGGCUAACUACGUG